UCUGUGUUUUCCUUUUUGGCCCCAUAAUGCCUGGUCCACAGUAGGUACUCAGCUGGUAUUUGUGGGGUGAGAAGCAAUUGAGGCAUUGUCAUCUGAAGUUGGUCUUCCCCAGCCCUGACUUGAUGAGGGGAGAUGGGCUGUUGCCAUGAAGUGAGGGUGGCCCUUGGGGUCCUGGGUCUGGCUGGGCCUGUUUCCCCAGGCUGGGUGGAGAGCCGGCUGCUGAUGUGGGCUCCUCUGCUUGGCUCUCCUCGUGCCCUUCUUUGCCCCAGCCUUUGAAAGUGGUCAUGGGCUGCCAGUGCCCCAGUCGUUGAAAGCACAGGGAGAGGACCGGCUGAAAGCACUUCCCCGUUUGGAGGUCCUGUUCCGUCCCUUAGAAACUCUGGAGCUUUCCCACACUUUCCCCCUCCCACCGCCUUUUAGAGGCCUCCUGGCACCUGGAGUCUGUUGAAUGACCUCUGCCUGGCUCAGAUCCAUGAGGAUGCGGGUUCAAUCCCUGGCCUUGCUCAGUGGGUUGAGGAUCCGGUGUUUCUGUGAACUGCGGUGUAGUUUGCAGACACAGCUCGGAUCCUGCGUUGCUGUGGCUGUGGUGUAGGCCAGCAGCUAGAGCUCUGAUUCGACCCCUAGCCUGGGAACUUCCACAUGGUGCCAUUGCCGCCCUCCCUAAAAAGCAGGAAAAAAAAAAGAAAAAAGAAAAAAAAAAAGAAGAAAAGGGAGAAAAUCACAGCUGUGGUCUCCUGACUCUAGUCUCCAAUCUCUGCAGCUCCAUGGCCUUUCCUGCCUUUGGGUUUGAAGUGAUUACAGGCUGCCUGUGACCCGGUCAUUGGUCAUACAGGCAGAGGAAAGUUGCAGGUUUUUCCUCAUGUUCAGAGGCUCCAUACUUGUCCUUUUUAAAUGGGACAGGUUUAGUGACUGGCAGGGGCCAAGCAUGAGGCCGUCUGAGGAUGGAGGGAGUUGGGCUGUGGGCUCAUCUCCUGCUGGCUUCUUGUCCUCUGCAGGAGUGUCACGUGACUGCUGUCGUAUGGGAGAUGUGGUCAGGAAGAGCCUGGCUAUGAGCCUCAGGUAAGUGAUGGCCUGUUGGUUCUCUAGAGCUUCAGUUCCUUGCAGGCUGCGAUAGCAGAGGUGUUGGGUAAUGAGAUGGGUGUGUGUGUGUGAGAGAGAGUACAGUGGGGCUGCUUCCCAGUGUCCUCCGCCUGGGCCUGAUUCUGCUCCUGCUCCUGGCAGCCCCUGAUGCUGCUGUGGUGGCAAGAGGUUGGUAUUUGUGCUGUGAGUCUUCCCUGAGGCUUUUGGCAGGGACUGUAAGUUGUCAGCAGUGGCUUUGUCAUCUUGGUUGUAAGUCUGGGCCAUGACUGUCUGCUGGUCUGUCCUGGUCCAGGCCAUUUCCUGGGGUUCUGAUAGUGGCCUCCCUUCCCAGCUCACCCCUGUAUUCGAAAGUGAUGGUGGGCUGCCCGUGCCCUGGUCAUUGAUAGUGCAGGGAGAGGAACUGCCGAAAGCACUUCCCCGUGUUUGGAGGGCCCGUCCUGUCCCUUACAAACUCUGGAGCUUUCGAACACGUCCACUGAGUGCCCCUUUUCCCGAGCAGGGCCCUGUCUCAGAAGUUUGUGUUUCUAGGCUGGUGGUGGAGCUACCUUGGGGCCCAUUAGCUCCUAGGACUUCCUUCCUGGACCCUUGCUCUGCCUUCUCCUCACUCAGUCCUUCCCACAUCCUCAGCCCUGCUUCGGCACUAAUCCCUCCUGGACAGUGUGGACUUGUUGGGUGUACCCCCCCCAUGCUGUAAUCUUGAGGGCAGUGCCUCUGUCGUGUUUUGCGUUGUGUGUGUUGCCUGAUAUAUGGCACCUGGACAAAAAUAACAACUGAAGAGCUGGUGGUGACACGGUUGGUACAGGGUGCUGGGGCCCAGGGCUUCUCCUAUUGCAGGGUCAGGGAGCCAUGCCCUCCAGCAGGCCAGCCUGUGGGGGUUGAGCCUGUCUCUUCUCACUGGAAGUGUUGAGUUUGUAAUGAAAGGUAGACUUGUUAUCAUCUACCUUUGAUCCUGGCCACGAGCAGGGCCUGUGGCCCUUUGGGGGUGGUUUCCUAAUAACUGACCUGCACGAAGCACAGAAUAGUCAAGGCUGUGUAUGUCCAUGGCCCUUAUACUAGAUGGUAGACAGGGGCCCACUGAAAGGAUGAAAAUGCAGCCUAACCCUCCAAGACCCCAAGAAGGUAGUGAAGAGCCCUAACUCCAGCUUCCUAAAAAGCCCUAGUGACCUAUCUCAACUGCAAUCUGUCACUCCGCCCAGGAGCCCGCGCAAAUGCGGACCUCCGGAACUGUAGAAAAAUGAUUGGUCCACGGAGCGUGGGCUCUCGAUGUUUUAAAAUGAUUGGUUUGCGAAGCGCGGGCUUUGUUGUGAACCCCAUAAAAGCUGUCCCGAUUCCGCACUCGGGGCCGCAGUCCUCUACCCCUGCGUGGCGUACGACUGUGGGCCCCAGCGCCCUUGGAAUAAAAAUCCUCUUGCUGUUUGCAUCAAGACCGCUUCUCGUGAGUGAUUUGGGGUGUCGCCUCUUCCGAGUCCAUACGAGGGGGAUUUUCCUUCUACUGGCCUUUUCAUUUGGUGCGUUGGCCGGGAAACCCUGCGACCACCCCUCACACCCGAGAACUGACUUGGAGGUAAAGGGAUCCCCUUUGGAACGUGUGUGCUGGCCGGCGUCUCUGUUCUGAGUGUCUGUUUUCUGUGAUGCGCGCUUUUGGUUUGCAGCUGUCCUCUCAGACCGUAAGGACUGGAGGACUGUGAUCAGCAGACGUGCUAGGAGGAUCACAGGCUGCCGCCCUGGGGACGCCCCGGGAGGUGGGGAGAGCCAGGGACGCCUGGUGGUCUCCUGCUGUCGGUCAGAGGACUGAGUUCUGUUGUUGAAGCGAAAGCUUCCCCCUCCGCGGCCGUCCGACUCUUUUGCCUGCUUGUGGAAGACGCAGACGGGUCGCGUGUGUCUGGAUCUGUUGGUUUCUGUUUCGUGUGUCUUUGUCUUGUGCGUCCUUUUCUACAGUUUUAAUAUGGGACAGACGGUGACGACCCCUCUUAGUUUGACUCUCGACCAUUGGACUGAAGUUAAAUCCAGGGCUCAUAAUUUGUCAGUUCAGGUUAAGAAGGGACCUUGGCAGACUUUCUGUGUCUCUGAAUGGCCGACAUUCGAUGUUGGAUGGCCAUCAGAGGGGACCUUUAAUUCU
rnacentral:lncRNA from 1 species